rnacentral:rRNA from 1 species
UACGUAGGGUGCGAGCGUUGUCCGGAAUUAUUGGGCGUAAAGAGCUCGUAGGCGGUGUGUCGCGUCGGCCGUGAAAACCUGGGGCUCAACUCUGGGCGUGCGGUCGAUACGGGCAUCACUAGAGUUCGGCAGGGGAGACUGGAAUUUACGGUGUAGCAGUGAAAUGCGCAGAUAUCAGGAGGAACACCGGUGGCGAAGGCGGAUCUCUGGGCCGUAACUGACGCUGAGGAGCGAAAGCAUGGGGAGCGAACAGG